rnacentral:lncRNA from 1 species
GGCACCGUGUCACCAGCCUUCUCACCGACUUCAGGGUCGGACGCGGCUAUUUCUUCAGAGAUAGCCUCAUCUACAGCGUUCGCAAACCAAUACAAGAUUCACCACAUCAAUAACGCAUCUCAAGUUCAUCAGUAAUAUACAAGUUAUCGACUACAUACCUUGGUACCCCGAGACUUCUUAGUGGUUGCAACAGACUUAGCCGCAGCCAUCUUGCGGACUACUCUACGCCUCUUGAUA